CACGCCAUUGCGAGGCGGCACCACCCACGUUCGGUGUGCGGGCUGGAGCACUGCCAGCCAGGCUCGCCUCCCAGGCUCAGUCUCGGACGAACGUGGUGAAAAAUCCGCCGUGUACACCCCAAGGGAGGGGAUGCGUGACCCCGUGGCGGCGACCUGCCCCGAAGGACGUUUCGCGGGCCGAAAGAACAUGGUGAUCUGGGCACAGAAGGCACCAAGACUUCCAGCCACACCGUGGGCCUGUUCCAGCCACACUGGGCGUGUGCCUCAAAACUGCGUCUCCCCUUGAAGAGGAAGGUACGGCCUUGGAAGCACGCGCAACUGAAAAUGGUUGGCACAAGAUGUCGGCCUCUGAGCUCCAGCCCAGGCCCCUGCGACGUUCUGUCCUGCUCUUUGAAGACUAUGUACUUACUAGUGGUUCCCUCAGUAUCGUUGCUCCGUAGUUACAACGCGACAACUAUUUCACCGAAGUUGGUAUAAAUCAAGUAGAUUUCUGUGGGGUACCGAGCCGAGCACCCCCGCCAUGACACACAAAACACGGUACCAGAACCUCGCGCUCUGUUGCCGUUGGCUGGAAGCCACGCACUCAGCUCCAGCCCAGGUCCGGAGCUCACACACGGUCUGCAAGAGAGCAGCACUGAACCAGAGGAGGAGACGGCCCUCCCGCUUUCCUGCACGCCUUUUCUGGAGUCCUGCAAACUAUCGCACCCCUUACGUAAGAUCUUGUGAAUUUUUUUCAGUUUAGGGUUUGAAAGCCCGUGUUGCAGAUGAUAUUACAUU
rnacentral:lncRNA from 1 species